GACGAACGCUGGCGGCGUGCUUAACACAUGCAAGUCGAACGGAAAGGCCCUGCUUUUGUGGGGUGCUCGAGUGGCGAACGGGUGAGUAACACGUGAGUAACCUGCCCUUGACUUUGGGAUAACUUCAGGAAACUGGGGCUAAUACCGGAUAGGAGCUCCUGCUGCAUGGUGGGGGUUGGAACGUUGCGGCGGUUGGGGAUGGACUCGCGGCUUAUCGGCUUGUUGGUGGGGUAGUGGCUUACCAAGGCUUUGACCGGUAGCCGGCCUGAGAGGGUGAACGGCCACAAUGGGACUGAGAGACGGCCCAGACGCCAACGGGAGACAGCAGUGGGGAAUAUUGCACAAUGGGCGGAGGCCUGAUGCAGCAACGCCGCGUGCGGGAUGACGGCCUUCGGGUUGUAAACCGCUUUCGCCUGUGACGAAGCGUGUGUGACGGUAAUGGAUAAAGAAGCACCGGCUAACUACGUG
rnacentral:rRNA from 1 species